rnacentral:misc_RNA from 1 species
CUUUCCCCUUUGUACAAAGGCUGAGGUUUGAAAAUGCUUGAGUCACGAUGGUGUUGCAGGUGCUGCCAUUUCAUUCUAACGAGAUCUUCCUGCACCUUGGAUUGAGCCAUUUGAAGCCAGUUCCAUGUGAUUUUGGGAUUCUUUUUGAGAAAUUAGAUUAUUACUUAUUCUGUCAAUAACCAUUUGAUACAUUAGGCUCCUACUUUCGUUGCUAUAUUUUCUGACAUUNNNNNNNNNNUAUCACUAGUCUAAGAGAACAGCUAAUUCUUUUAGUUGUACUUGCAUGUAUUAGCACAGGUGAGAUAGUUUUACACUAAGAAUAGAUAUAUAUUUCAAAAAUUGUUUUUUC